rnacentral:rRNA from 1 species
GAUGAACGCUGGCGGCGUGCUUAACACAUGCAAGUCGAACGGUGAACGAGGGAGCUUGCUCCCUCCGGAUCAGUGGCGAACGGGUGAGUAACACGUGAGCAAUCUGCCCUGGACUCUGGGAUAAGCGUUGGAAACGACGUCUAAUACCGGAUACGAGACGCGACGGCAUCUUCAGCGUCUGCAAAGAACUUCGGUCCAGGAUGAGCUCGCGGCCUAUAAGGUAGUUGGAGAGGUAACGGCUCACCAAGCCUACGACGGGUAGCCGGCCUGGGAGGGUGACCGGCCACACUGGGACUGAGACACGGCCUAGACUCCUACGGGAGGCAGCAGUGGGGAAUAUUGCACAAUGGGCGCAAGCCUGAUGCAGCAACGCCGCGGGAGGGACGACGGCCUUCGGGUUGUAAACCUCUUUUAGCAGGGAAGAAGCGAAAGUGACGGUACCUGCAGAAAAAGCACCGGCUAACUACGUGCCAGCAGCCGCGGUAAAAC